GAUGAACGCUAGCGGCAGGCUUAACACAUGCAAGUCGAGGGGUAUUGGUUUUCGGACCAAGAGACCGGCGCACGGGUGCGUAACGCGUAUGCAAUCUACCUUUUGCAGAGGGAUAGCCCCAGAGAAAUUUGGAUUAAUACCUCAUAGUAUAGUACUUUGGCAUCAAGGAACUAUUAAAGUCACAACGGCAAAAGAUGAGCAUGCGUCCCAUUAGCUAGUUGGUAAGGUAACGGCUUACCAAGGCUACGAUGGGUAGGGGUCCUGAGAGGGAGAUCCCCCACACUGGUACUGAGACACGGACCAGACUCCUACGGGAGGCAGCUAGUGAGGAAUAUUGGACAAUGGGCGCAA
rnacentral:rRNA from 1 species